rnacentral:tRNA from 1 species
GGGCGCGUAGCUCAGCGGGAGAGCGCUCGCCUCACACGCGAGAGGUCACAGGUUCGAACCCUGUCGCGCCCACCG